AUGGCGCUGCUCUGCUUCCUCCUCGACCUCCGCAACAUCCCGCCGCCCAUCCUCGGCCUCCUCAAGCAGUGCCUGCUCCACCUCGCCAACCACUACGCCGCCGCCCCCUCCGCCUCCGCCGCCCCGCUCCCGGACCGCCUCGCCCUCUGCUACGUCCACCACGCCGCAGCCGCCCCCUCCGGCUCCUCCUCCCGCUCCCCGCCCGAGCUCAAGAUUGCGUAUAGGCCCGGGGAGAAAUUCAGCCUUCGAGAUUUCCACCAUGCUGUCGAAAACUUGCCUCUGGAUGGCUUCCUUCCUGACCAACAUGGGUCUGUGCCAACUGGAGACGUGUCACUACAAAAUCUGUUUAGCAACAGGGCCAUCUAUUCUUGGGCCACUGAUGACAUCUCCAAGAAAGUGAUUGCAAUAUGUUUUUCUGCACAAAACACGGAACCUCUCCGAAGAUCACUUAUGGAAGCAUCGGAACAGUGUAUUACAGUGGAGUUUGUAAUGUUGGAAACAGAAACUGCUGCGUUCAUGUAUGAUGAUGUUUCUGAAAACUCCAGCAGUUUCAUACACAGAAUCAGUGACCUUGAAAACUGCGUCGUUCGAAGAUACAGUCCUGAGACCCAAGUUUUGCAUGGGCUAGUCAAGAGGUGGUUAGAAGAGCUGAAGGAUGACAAGGAAGAGAUGAUGCAAGCUGUAUUGGUGUUCAGAGCUCCCAUAAUUAAAUCUGUUAAUCAAGUAACUUGCAGCAUAUAUCCAUCAGCAAAUCAGAUCAUUGAUGGUUUUCCAUAUUGUCAGGUAUGCAGGUGCCAUGGUCUCCCCAUAGAUGACGUUACCACAAAUAAGGCAAAAUGGCUGUGCCCAACAACAAGCCGCCAACUUGCAGCUUCUGAUGUUACUGAUAGUGCCGUGAAGAUUGGAGAUCAGACUGUAUUGUUUCUUUCCACUUCAGGAGGUGGGCCAAACAUGCGACGAGCCUCUACAUCCAUUUCUUUCGAUGUGAUUGAGCGCACUGACUUAGCCUCGCUAAAUGAAGGAGUCAUAAUGGGGAAAUCUCAUGUUGUGGUUCCCAGCUCAAAUGAUGAAGUUGCUCUAACUGAUGAGAGCUUGGAUCAGAACACCCAGAUUUUCUAUGGUGUGUGUGAAACUCUUUUCAAGCUCGAUCAGGGACUUGUGUGCUCCUCUGCGUGCAACACUGAAACAAUGAAAAUUGGAACUCUUGCCUGUUAUUAUCUCCUUCAGCCAUCUGAAAAGGGGCCAAUGCUUCUUAGGAGGCUUGCUGGAUCUGAAGAGAUACUGCCUCUCCCGGAUGUGAGUCGACCUCGCAACUAUACUGUUAGCAUGGACGCCAAGAAUUCAAUUGAAACCUCUUUAUCGAAGAUUGCUGUGAAGGAAUACAACCCUCUACACCAUGAAAGAGGUUUCCACUCGAAGCUGAAUUCUCUGGUCAAGGAUAGCCUGCAAUUCGGGUCAAUUGCCCCAGCCUAUGCUGAAGAUGCCACCCACCUUGACUCCUUCAGUGAGCCACAAAUACCAGCAUUGCAGGGUCCCAGGGGAAACAUGUUCAUGAGCCAAAGGGACAAGGCCAGAGACGCCGACCGGAUCUACGCGUUCAGCGAGCCGCAGACGACGACGCCGUUGUUCCGAGCUCCGAAAGACAGGCUCCCGAGCCAGCCCAAGGAGAAGGCGUCGCCCAGCAUCUCGGAGGAGUGGGAGAAGCUCAUCAUCAUCGACGACAAUGACGAUUUCUGCACUCCGGUCUCCUCUUCCAGGGCCACAUUCCCCAGGCCUCCGGUCUCCACGCUGCCGUCUCCGGUGAAGCCACUGGACGAGAAGACCUCGAGGAUCCUGGAGCGGCUGGAGGCCCCCAAGGCCAAGAAGCAGAGGGCCAGCAAGCCGCCCAGUGCCGGCGCCGCGACGGCGUCCGGCCGCGGUGGUGUCAGUAGCACACAGGGGAAGAAGCCGCUGCUGCCGUUUGAGCCCAGCGCUAGCCAGCCACUGAAGCCUACCUUCAACAGGGUACGGCGAAAGCCUGUUCCUUAG
rnacentral:rRNA from 1 species